UGCCUGAAGAGCCAUUGUUCCAGAUUUUUCUUGGCUCAUAUUGUGAACUCUUUUUUUCUGUCAAAAUCAACAAUGCAGAUUUAGUAUAUUAUGCAGAUUAGUUAGAACUUGGAACUGGUCCAGCUUGUGAAUAUGAAGUAUCCCAGUGGGAACUAAAAAAAUAUUGAUAAUGCAGUGCCUUCUAAUGAGGAACCCGAAAUGGAUGAUAAAACUGUUCCCGAUGAAGUGAUCCCAAAAGGUGGGACGAUUACACUUAAUUCCGGGAGGAGAGCAGUAAGCCUCAGAGUCACUAACAGUGGAGAUAGGCCGGUUCAGGUAGGAAACCAUUAUCACUUUAUCGAGGUAAACCCUGACUUGAAUUUCGAUCGAAGUAAAGCAUUAGGCAUGCGGCUAAAUAUACCAGCGGGAACAGCUUAAAGAUUUGAGGUCGAGCGAGCAUUUUAACCUUCAUCUGUUGAUAAGCUUGUUGUUUGAUCAUUGAUUAAGUCAAUUAACGGUUAUUCAUUGAUCAUGUUGUGGGUGUUGGUUAUGUAUAUGUGUCGACACAGGAUGGUAUGAUUUUUGAUAAAUUGGAGGGUGCAGAUCCUUCCAGUCUCGCCAAAAAAGUUGCCAAGGUUACUGGGCUUAUUAACCCUGGAGAAGCUGCUGCUCCUGCUAGUCUUGGGAUGGCUGCCGGCCCCACCGUCCUUGAGACGGUCCAAGAUUUGGCAAAGGUAAAUGGUUCAUCCCAGACAGGAAAUCAAGUGCAAACUGGUCUCGACGACAAACUUAAAAAACGCUUACAUCCUUUUCUUUUCCUUGAUUUCAUUUUUUUUCUCGAGUGAUGAUUGCAGAGUUGAAGAAGUCGUUGCACGUUGUGUUCUCACAAUUCGGAAAGAUACUGGAUGUGUUAGCAUUGAAGACGCUGAAACACAAAGGUCAAGAUUGGGUUAUUUUCGAGGAUGUUAGCUCCGCUACCAAUGCUCUUAGGCGAAUGCAGGGCUUUCCCUUUUAUGACAAGGAGAUGGUAUAUGUAUUUUUGCAAUUGGUUUCUUGUUUCUGUCAUUGAUGGAGACUGCAACAAGUUUCCAAGCUCCGCUUUUAAUAUGUCAAAAUUGUUUUUCCUUGUUUCUGUCUAUGAAUUAUUAUUAAAUUCUCUAUGUUU